rnacentral:rRNA from 1 species
ACGUAGGGUGCAAGCGUUAAUCGGAAUUACUGGGCGUAAAGCGUGCACAGGCGGUUUUUUAAGAGGGAUGUGAAAGGCCAUAGCUUAACUAUUGUAAGCCUUUCGAACUGGAGGACUUGAGUGCAGGAGAGGAAAGUGGAAUUCCGAGUGUAGCGGUGAAAUGCGUAGAUAUGAGGAGGAACACCAGUGGCGAAGGCGACUUUCUGGAAUGUAACUGACACUGAGGCACGAAAGCGUGGGGAGCAAACAG